UACGAGGGGGGCUAGCGUUGCUCGGAAUCACUGGGCGUAAAGGGUGCGUAGGCGGGUCUCUAAGUCAGGGGUGAAAUCCUGGAGCUCAACUCCAGAACUGCCUUUGAUACUGAAGAUCUUGAGUUCGGGAGAGGUGAGUGGAACUGCGAGUGUAGAGGUGAAAUUCGUAGAUAUUCGCAAGAACACCAGUGGCGAAGGCGGCUCACUGGCCCGAUACUGACGCUGAGGCACGAAAGCGUGGGGAGCAAACAGG
rnacentral:rRNA from 1 species